AUUGAACGCUGGCGGCAGGCCUAACACAUGCAAGUCGAACGAGUGGCGGACGGGUGAGUAAUGUAUGGGAAACUGCCUGAUGGAGGGGGAUAACUACUGGAAACGGUAGCUAAUACCGCAUACAAACGGAUAUGCACAGAUGGGAUUAGCUAGGAGGUAGGGUAAAGGCUCACCUAGGCGAAGAUCCCUAGCUGGUCUGAGAGGAUGACCAGCCACACUGGAACGGAGACACGGUCCAUACUCCUACGGUAGGCAGCAGUGGGGAAUAUGGCACAAUUGGCGCAAGCCUGAUGCAGCCAUGCGGCGUGUAGGAAGAAGGCUUUCGGGUUGUAAAGUACUUUCAGCGGGGAGGCGUUACCCGCAGAAGAAUCACCGGCUAACUCCGUGCCAGCAGCCGCGGUAAUUC
rnacentral:rRNA from 1 species